rnacentral:rRNA from 1 species
GACGAACGCUGGCGGCGUGCUUAACACAUGCAAGUCGAACGGAAAGGCCCUGCUUUCGUGGGGUGCUCGAGUGGCGAACGGGUGAGUAACACGUGAGUAACCUGCCCUAGACUUUGGGAUAACUUCAGGAAAGUGGGGCUACUACCGGAUAGGAGCCCCCGUUGCAGGGAGGGGGUGGGAAAGUUUCGGCGGGCGGGGCUGGACUCGCGGCUUAUGAGCUUGCUGGUGGGGUAGUGGCUGACCAAGGCUUUGACGGGUAGCCGGCCGGGGAGGGGGACCGGCCACAUUGGGACUGCGAGACGGACCAGUCUCCUACGGGAGGCAGAGGUGGGGAGUAUUGCACAGUGGGCGCAAGCCUGAUGCAGCAACGUCGCGUGCGUAAUGACGGCCUUCGGGUUGUGAACCGCUUUCGCCUGUGACGAAGCGUGAGUGACGGUAAUGAGUAAAGAAGCACCGGCUAACUACGUG